rnacentral:rRNA from 1 species
ACGAACGCUGGCGGCGCGCUUAACACAUGCAAGUCGAACGGAAAGGCCUGCUUUCCCUUGUGGAUUGCGGGUACUCGAGUGGCGAACGGGUGAGUAACACGUGAGUGAUCUGCCCCCAACUUGGGUAUAAGCCUGGGAAACUGGGUCUAAUUCCCGAUAGGACUGCAGGGUGGUGCCUGUGGUGGAAAACGAUUUUCUAGUGGUUGGGGAUGAGCUCGCGGCCUAUCAGCUUGUUGGUGGGGUAAUGGCCUACCAAGGCGGCGACGGGUAGCCGGCCUGAGAGGGUGGACGGACACAUUGGGACUGAGAUACGGCCCAGACUCCUACGGGAGGCAGCAGUGGGGAAUAUUGCACAAUGGGCGGAAGCCUGAUGCAGCGACGCCGCGUGGGGGAUGACGGCCUUCGGGUUGUAAACUCCUUUCGACCGCGAGGAAGCCACCUGGUUGGAAGGGUGGUGACGGUAGUGGUAGAAGAAGCACCGGCUAACUACGUG